rnacentral:rRNA from 1 species
CCUACGGGGGGCAGCAGUGGGGAAUAUUGCACAAUGGGGGAAACCCUGAUGCAGCGACGCCGCGUGAGUGAAGAAGUAUUUCGGUAUGUAAAGCUCUAUCAGCAGGGAAGAAAUAGCGACCUUUGGGUCGCCAGACGGUACCUGAAGAAAAAGCUCCGGCUAACUACGUGCCAGCAGCCGCGGUAAUACGUAGGGAGCGAGCGUUGUCCGGAAUUACUGGGUGUAAAGGGAGCGUAGGCGGGACGGCAAGUCAGCUGUGAAAACUGAGGGCUCAACUUUCAGACUGCAUUGGAAACUGCCGUUCUUGAGUGCACGGGAGGUAAGCGGAAUUCCUAGUGUAGCGGUGAAAUGCGUAGAUAUGAGGAGGAACAUCGGUGGCGAAGGCGGCUUACUGGGCUUGUACUGACGCUGAGGCUCGAAAGCGCGGGGAGCAAACAGGAUUAGAUACCCCUGUAGUC